AUACGUAGGUGACAAGCGUUAUCCGGAUUUACUGGGCGUAAAGGGCGUGUAGGCGGUCUUGCAAGUCAGAAGUGAAAUUCCUGAGCUCAACUCGGGCGCUGCUUCUGAAACUGCAGGACUUGAGUGCUGGAGGGGAUAGCGGAAUUCCUAGUGGAGCGGUAAAAUGCGCAGAUAUUAGGAAGAACACCGGUGGCGAAGGCGGCUAUCUGGACAGUAACGGACGCUGAGGCGCGAAAGCGUGGGGAGCAAACAGGAUUAGAUACCCUGGUAGUCCACGCCGUAAACGAUGAGUGCUAGGUGUCGGGGGUCAAACCUCGGUGCCGCAGUUAACACAUUAAGCACUCCGCCUGGGGAGUACGGCCGCAAGGCUGAAACUCAAAUGAAUUGGCGGGG
rnacentral:rRNA from 1 species